CCUACGGGUGGCAGCAGUGAGGAAUAUUGGUCAAUGGGCUUACGCCUGAACCAGCCAAGUCGCGUGAGGGAAGACUGCCCUAUGGUUUGUAAACCUCUUUUGUCAGGGAGCAACGCCGGCGACGUGUAGCCGGACUGAGAGUACCUGACGACAAAGCAUCGGCAAACUCCGUGCCAGCAGCCGCGGUAAUACGGAGGAUGCGAGCGUUAGCCGGAUGUAUUGGGUUAAAGGGGUGCGUAGGCGGAAUGCCAAGUCAGCGGUAAAAUCGCGGGGCUCAACCUCGCUCCGCCGUUGAAACUGGCGUGCUUGAGUGGGCGAGAAGUAUGCAGAAUGCGUGGUGUAGCGGUGAAAUGCAUAGAUAUCACGCAGAACUCCGAUUGCGAAGGCAGCAUCCCGGCGAAAAACUGACGCUGAAGUACGAAAGCGUGGGUAGCGAACAGGAUUAGAUACCCUUGUAGUC
rnacentral:rRNA from 1 species